rnacentral:rRNA from 1 species
UACGUAGGUGGCAAGCGUUGUCCGGAAUUAUUGGGCGUAAAGCGCGCGCAGGCGGUUUCUUAAGUCUGAUGUGAAAUCUUGCGGCUCAACCGCAAGCGGCCAUUGGAAACUGGGAGACUUGAGUGCAGAAGAGGAGAGUGGAAUUCCACGUGUAGCGGUGAAAUGCGUAGAGAUGUGGAGGAACACCAGUGGCGAAGGCGACUCUCUGGUCUGUAACUGACGCUGAGGCGCGAAAGCGUGGGGAGCGAACAGGAUUAGAUACCCUGGUAGUCCACGCCGUAAACGAUGAGUGCUAAGUGUUAGAGGGUUUCCGCCCUUUAGUGCUGCAGCUAACGCAUUAAGCACUCCGCCUGGGGAGUACGGCCGCAAGGCUGAA